UGAGAAUAUGAAGUUUUCUUCCAGUCCCCUCUUGAAGCUCUAUUCACAGAAUCAAAAUGGUUCUUUUAGUUGAUAUUAACAAGCCUUUUUUCUUGAAACAUGGAUAUUUACAAGUUUUCAAGGCAAAGAAUGAUCUGACUAAGAAAGUCUAUGCUAUUGCACAACUAUAAUGAAAGUAUUCAUAUUACUGUGAAUCAUAUUUCUUUAUUUCAUGUCUGCACAAUGUAACAAGCAAAGUGCAUUUAUCCUCAUAGACUUACCUUGAGGCAUCAGACUCUAUGAUUGGUUGGGAGUAUUGCUUUGGAGGGAGAGUGGGAAAGGGUGCUGGAGCUUUGGCUGCCUUCACCUGGAUGGCUUUCGCCUUGUGUAUGACAUGCACUGUGCAAUAAUCUGGUGCCAUCUUCAUCAAGCAUGUUGGGACAUCAGGAUUUCUAAAUCUUCUGCAAGGUGUAAUGAUCAUGGCUGUUAUCAGUAUAGGCAUUAACGGAAUGAAAAGGUGUGCAACCAUGGAAGUGGAGUAAGCAUGUAAUGUACCUGAUGAAUGUGUUCUUAGUUGAUGCCCCAACGACAAUGUCUGUGAUGGCGUUGUUAGUGGCAUAGUCAAUUAUUGCUUUGGAGAUGUCACUGUUAUCCAAGAUGACCUCCUUCAGAUGCAUCUGUGAUUUACAGAUGGCAUUAGAGAAACUCAUACAUUUCACAUGGAGUGGCUGAAUUCUGAAAAGGUGCCUACCCCUGACAUGGACGAGCGUGAGCGUGCUGCCCCUGGACAGGAGCUUAUCCACCGCCCAUUUCGCCGCCUGCUGGCUGUUCUUGUCCCGGUCGACGGCCACGAUGAUGGAGCUGUCCCUUGCAGUCGCCUCUUGCUCGGCGCUAUACGAAGAUGACACAGCGAACGCCGAGGCGAACAUCUUAAACGGUGAGCACCACUCUCUUUCUUCCCCAAUGCAACAAUCAGUUUGUCGCAGAAGCGCGAACCGACGAACCCCAACAACAGAUAGCAAAGAAAGGAGGCUGCAAGAGGCGAAACAGAGGAGAGAGAAGGGGGAUUUUGUCUCUCCUCUGUCGUCGCCUUAUUUUGUCCUGCUCGUCCCUAAUCUCCCUCCUCCGUUUUUCUGUUGCCAUGGAGCCACCCAAAACUGUAAAUGCGUUUUCAGGAGGUUUUGCCGUUUCGCCAAAUUUGGAUCAUGAGCUUUCGCCUAUUUUUGUGUGGCUAAGCUGUUGCGAGGACUUUGCAGCUCAUGUUUUUUGUCGUGUCCAUUCAUCUAUUUUUACGCAAAGCCUGUGUCUUUCUCACGACU